AAAUUGGGCUGAGAUUGAUGUCCCCGAUGAGUUCCAGACUAUUGUCACAUCACUGUUCUCUUCCAAGUCAGAGACCAGUGGACAUGCUGAUGAUGAUUCUGCUGACACUGCAACAAGCCAAACUGAAGUGGUUCGAAACAGCAGUGAUCCUUCAAUGGUGGAUGCUGGACUCCCAAAUAUAUCACAUAAUACAGCGCAGACUGAUUCUACUUCAACACAUCCAGAUAGUACAGCACAG
rnacentral:misc_RNA from 1 species